UACGUAGGGGCCGAGCGUUGUCCGGAGUUAUUGGGCGUAAAGCGCGCGCAGGCGGCCUCGCGCGCCCGACGGUGAAAAGCCCCCGGCUUAACCGGGGAGGGUCGUUGGGGACGGCGGGGCUUGAGGGCGGGAGAGGUCGGUGGAAUUCCCGGUGUAGUGGUGAAAUGCGUAGAGAUCGGGAGGAACACCUGUGGCGAAGGCGGCCGACUGGGCCGACCCUGACGCUGAGGCGCGAAGGCGUGGGGAGCGAACAGG
rnacentral:rRNA from 1 species